ensembl:lncRNA
UACUAAUUUCCUGACAGCACUCGCCACAGACAGUUCCUGUUCCCUGGCAAGAACUAACAACACUACCUGUGCCUUUGCAGAUGGUUUGGUUUGUAUAUAUCUUUCUGGAAGCACACAAUUUGUUUUCUGCCUGGGAUGUAUUUGCCAGAAAUUUUCAACUGUCAAAACAACCCCUUUCCUAGCUCAUGAUCUCACCACAGUGUACCCAUUAGGCUUCUGUCCAGCCCAGAAAGACCAUGGUGACAUGCAUUGCUGAGCACUGGACUGUGUUCUCAUGAUGAAGCGCUAAGUUGAAGUUGGCUUGAGAGGAGAGGCAGUCAGCUUGGAAUAAGAGAUGGGAGAGGUUAGCUUUGGAAAUGUUUAUAGCAGCAGUUUGUGUGAAAUAAUGCAAAGACGAGGCUCGCUGGGUCACAGUUUGGCAGUUGGGAGGAGGAGGACAGUAAAGAAUGUGGAGCUUUUAUUUGUCCUUUUACAUACAUCCGUGAAAUAAGUGAGAUAGUUACUCUGGCCGGAGUCUUCCUCCCGGGAGGGAAAGAGGACAACAGUAAGAAGGCUGUACAUUCUUAAUCUGAUAUGUUUCUGUUAAAAGACAUACACUCUCCAGCUUCAGCUCUCUUGGAGGGAACAAAUCCUAUCAGGAUAGCAUUGCAGUGUGAAGAGAAGAAGUAGGACAGCACCAUUGCCAGGACAUCUUCAUGGCUUCUGGACAUGCUGCCAGCCUGUGACCUUCUGCAAGGCGGUCUCAGAGCCAGCAGUGUAAAGGAUGAGAUGGAACUUCCUCCCACUGUCAUCACAAGCUGAGAGAAGAGAUGCUAACAGCCUGCUGUGUACUGCAGUGGAAGGCAGCUGGCACAGAAAGCGUGGAACCACAAGAAAAGGGCAAGCCAGAGCUUUUGCAAAGGGAGACAUUGGCAGUUUGCUGAAGUUUGUUAUGAUUAGUUUUGACUUAGUCUUCUUUGUCUCUUCGGCUUUUAUGGAGAGAAAAGGAACAAAAAUGUAGCAAAUGCUGUUUAAGAACAGCUACAAUUUGCUGUAAUGGUGCAUGGCCUCUCAACUUCAUUUUUAAUUAAUUUCCAAAUCCAGGAAAUCCAUUCAUCACAAUUCUGGAAUGCUGGAAAACUCACUGAGGAACUACAAAGGGCAGGUAAAGCAAAAGCAUUUAAAAUAGUUGCAGAUGAGCUGAUAAGAGGCUCAAAGAAACAGUUAAAUUUGUGUGCAGAUAACUUAACCACAGUAUCUGGAAUGUAUAAACAUAGCACUUUUUUUUCUUUUUUUUUUUUUAACUUUUUUUUUUCUGGCCUUAAAAUUUGAUCCAAGUCUGGGAGUUAAAAAGUCCCAUUUUGUGUAAUCAGGUUCUGGUUGAACAUGAUUGCUGAAUUAUUUUAAAUUGAAGACACAUGUCUGGAUGUUGAGUUCUGUAUAUUAUUCCAGGAUGGUGUCCAUUAGGUCUUAUCCACAGGGGCUAUCUUCAUUCCUUAUGCAUCAGGAUUAGCAAAUGGUGAAUCAUGAAUAUGGAGACAGUGUAAAGAAUGUGGUACUAGUUAAAGGGUGAUUUUGGAAAUUAUCUUGCAUGCAUUAUUCAAAACUUUUCAGUCUCUCCUGCACAGAGUCCCUAAGGCUGUUUCAAAGUGUUAUUUUAAAGCACACUUGUACAAGGCAUUUGCAUUCUUUCAUUUUGAAUCUUGAGUUUAGCAAUGAACCAACAUUUGCCUUAACCCCUUGUCAGUCCUAAAGCAUUCUCAAGAGUAUGAGUUGCUCAUCUAAUGGUUGCAUUGCCAUAUGCUGUCCUUCUGUAAUAGAUCUGCCCCUGACCUCUGUGUUUUUACAUUGCUUCUUUUACUGGCAGAUGGACCAUUACAUAAAUUGAAACAUAUUUUCAUGGAUACUCCCAGUGGUGAGAGAGUAUUGUCUCAUUAGCUCCAUGGGGAAAACAGUCUAAACCCAAAGCUGAGUAGCUCACCUGUCCAUAUGGUGGGUGAAAAGAGGUGUCCUUACAGCAUAUGCUACAGGCAGCGAUGUCUCCUGAAUUGCUGGAAGAUGAAAGUUCUGAGGUGUGGCAAGGAGACGAUGAACAAAGAGUUUGUCUUUUUCCUGUCUGGGCUGUCCAAAUGCUUGUGUAGUUUUUAAAGACCAGGCUGGAUGCUCUUUGGGUGCCCUGCAGCCAUGUACCACGGGUCAGCCACCACAGGAUACCCUGCCCGUAUCUUUUCCCCACACAGAGCUCCUGCAGGGAAGGUCUCUGAAAGUCUUCAUUCACCAUAUAUAUACAUAUAUAUAUAUAUAUUUAAUUAAAUGUAUCUUUUUGUUUGUUUUGUUAGUUUGUAUCAGAUCAAAAUAAAAAUGACAAAAAAAAGACUGUCGCCAUCAUUCACAUGUUUCUAUUUCCACGUGUUCGCAACAACCGCAAUGGGAAUUUCAUCCAUCUUUUAAUCAAAACUGUUUGAGAAAUCACACCACCCAACUUCUUCACAAAGGAAAACACUCUUGUCAGUGUGUGGACGACUCGAUGACAGAGUCAACAGUGGUUCUGAUAUAACAUUUCACGAAAGCUGAAAGACAUCCCAAAAGCCCGCAAAGAGGAAGUGGCCACAAAAUAUGAAUACCCAUGGCCCGUUCAAAAUGCAUUCCUCAGUUUUCAGCCUGGGAAAUGACAGAGUUCAUUGUGCAGAUGGGCUCUCUGAUUCCAUCACAAUGGUAUCUCCAUACACUGCCUCUCUCCCUCCCUCUUAGGCAGGGCGAAUCUGCUGGGCUUUAAAUCUUUCUCAGCCAGGAGGAAUUCCGAAAGGAGGAAAACAGCUGGGAAACACAUAUCCAUGCCUCCUGCAAAGAUACAAGAGCAAAUCUUCCAACCCCUAGCUGACAUAGCAAUGCUGAUGGGACCUGAUUCUCUAACUUUUGGGAAGAAACCUGCGUAGACUGACCGUAAAAAGAGCCAGAGGAAUAUAAGAAAAACAAAAUACAGUCUUGAGCCCAGACCUAGGCCAACAUAUGCUGGUGAUUUCACAUGGUGUCACUGCAAGAAGCUGUUGGGAAUGUUGUGGUAUUAAUAGAAUCUAGAUACCAUUUAAUACUUAAAGAGAUGGUUCCUUCACCUAGGACUCAGGAUAGCACAUUCUGCUUACUGAGAAGGGUCACCAAAUGGCAGUGUGCAUGAGCAAAUACUUAGCAACCUGCUUUGCUUCUGGGAAAAAUACCAGGUAAAGCUGAAGCACAUAUUUUCUCUUGGGCAUAACAAAAUAAAGAGCACCCUCACCCUUACUGAGCUCAGCUAGACUGUACUGGUGAGUUGAACCGGGACAGAAUCCAGUCCAGAGUGAUACUGAGGAAGAGGAGAACAUCACAGGAGCACAGAAACAAAGAUGCAGGCUCCUCAUAUACCAGAAGAGGAAAAGGAGGUGGCAGCAUCGUGCAUGUCUCUUUGUUGGCGUAACGAGCAAAGGAGCUUUUAAAACAUUUGAAUGGGAAGCUUCCAUCAGUCUUUAGUGGAAAAAAAUUCCUGCUGGUCUCUCAGGAUAUCCACUCCAGAUAAUCUCAGCUGGCAACUCGAUAUAAGACCGAUAUCUCUUCUCAGAGGGGUUCCUUGCUUUGCAUUUCAGCACAUUCUGCCUUUGCAAAGUAACUCUUUAAACAGUCAUACUUUCCUCUUCCAAGAUGAAAUAGGAAAAAGAAGAAGAGGUUAAAAAAGAAAAUGAAAAAAAGAUGAUCUUCUUGCUUGCUGGCAGUGAUAUUUUCACACUUUACCGGUGAUCUUCUACAAAGUUGUCUCUCAGAAACAUACUGCACUAACUUGACUCUGGCUGAGAGCAGAAAUGUACACAGGCGUGCUGUAAGGAGGUCUCAUCUCAUCACUGUCUUCUCCCAUCACAUCUCUAG